CCGGAAUUCAAUGGUCUUCAGUGGUGAGAGCACAUCAUAUGGAACCUGGGGGUUCACCUCUGGUGGUGUGAUUAACCAGAGCACAUCAUAUAGUAUCUAGAGGACCACUUCAGGUGGUGUGUCUUGUGUAACAGAGGACACCCACUAUGGUAAUAGAAACAUUUGGCACAAUGUGUCCGUAUACAAUAAGCACUGUCUUCUCCAGGCAUAAUUCAGACAUGUAUUAUUACUAUAUAGGCAACCUAUCCAUUGCUGUAAUGUUCCUCUUUGUGGCA